rnacentral:rRNA from 1 species
AAAGGUUCGAGUGACUGCGGAAGGAUCAUUACAGAAUAAACUUGGUGGGUUGUAGCUGGCUCUCUCGGGAGCAUGUGCACGCCUGGUCACCUUUAUCUUUCCACCUGUGCACCCUUUGUAGACUUGGAAUUCAAACCCUUCUGAAAGGCUCGCUUUUUAGUAUGAGGGAUUGCCAUCGGGCUUCCCUUGUGGGUUUCAAGUCUAUGUUUUUCAUAUACCCCAUAGUAAAAUCUUAGAAUGUAAUCAAAGGCCUCUGUGCCUAUAAAAAGUUAUACAACUUUCAGCAACGGAUCUCUUGGCUCUCGCAUCGAUGAAGAACGCAGCGAAAUGCGAUAAGUAAUGUGAAUUGCAGAAUUCAGUGAAUCAUCGAAUCUUUGAACGCACCUUGCGCUCCUUGGUAUUCCGAGGAGCAUGCCUGUUUGAGUGUCAUUAAAUUCUCAACCUUAUCAUCUUCGAUGGCAAGGCUUGGACUUGGGGGAUUAGCGGGCUUCCCUUUUUGAAGUCGGCUCCCCUUAAAUGAAUUAGCGGGAAAACGAAACCGUCUAUUGGUGUGAUAAUUAUCUACGCCGUUGUGACUACUUUUCAAGUUUCUGCUUCAAACCGUCCUUAGGGACAAUCAUUAAUGAUCAUUUGACCUCAAAUCAGGUAGGACUACCCGCUGAACUUAAGCAUAUCAAUA